rnacentral:rRNA from 1 species
AGAAUCAACGCUGGCGGCGUGCCUAACACAUGCAAGUCGAACGAGAAAGUGGAGCAAUCCAUUAGUAAAGUGGCGCACGGGUGAGUAACACGUGACUAACCUACCCUUGAGUGGGGGAUAACCUAGGGAAACCUGGGCUAAUACCGCAUAAUACCUUCGGGUCAAAGGAGCAAUUCGCUUAAGGAGGGGUCGCGGCCGAUUAGUUAGUUGGCGGGUAAUGGCCCACCAAGACGAUGAUCGGUAUCCGG